rnacentral:lncRNA from 1 species
CUUCAUGUUCUAUUUGGUUUCAGUUCUUGUUCUAUAGGACUGGGUAAUUUUUGUAGCCACCGCCUUCUGCGCAUCACAUCGUGAAGAAAAACGAAGGGUGUUUUAUCGAACCAAUCUAAGGCCGCCUCAGAUAGAUUUUUGAAAUUGCAUGAUAAGGUUACUGAUGCUAUUCCAAAACACUCUGUGAGAAAGUAGUUGGCAGUAGCUAUGUCUAUUUUUGGUCAACUCAAUGGUAUUACUAAUCUGUAUAUCUAAGUGUGUAACAUAGACCAGAUGUCCUCAUGAAUGCUUAGUUUGAAAGAGAAGCUCAAGCAUAGUGCGAGGAAGUGUCUGAGUAUGUUUAUAUGCAGUCAUUAUCCUCUUUUUUGUUAACAAGGAACAAAAUCUGGUGCAAGCUGCUCAUGAUUAAUGAGGGUCUCAUUUGAGAGCGGUGGAGUUUUUUAAUCCAUCAGUCUUUGUCAUGGUACAUUUACUUGAUUUCCACAGCCUUGUUUGCAGGGCACGUAGCUGUGAUCAUGGAUGGCAAUGUGAGGUUGGGUCAAGAGGCAUGUGGUGGGCAUAAAGAAAUCUUGUUGAGCAAUGAUCUGUGUUGGAAAUGUAGGUUAGGGUUCUGAACGUUUUUGUGCUUUUUUAUGAUAAUUGGUUUUGUUCCAAAGUUGGUUGUUAAUGAUUAUGACAAUGCAUGAGGUUCUAUGUUUCAAGAUGCAUCUGAGGGGAGCUCUAUUCGGUUUUACCUUCCUCCCUUAUAAUUUAUUAGAACUGUGAUUAUGAAGGUCUCUUUGGGAUAGGUAACAAUAUUUCUACUUUUCAGUUAGAGUGAAUGUUAAAUUGUUUAUUCUGGAACUUGUGAUUUUAGUGAUACAAUUGGUCAGGGACUAUGGAAUAAAAUGAAGCUUUUUGAUGCAGAACAGUCCACUUUCAGUGCUUUGGCUGGCACCGCAACUGAGAAGCUAUUUGGGCUGCAAUAAGUCUGGUGAAUUCUAGGUUGGUAGAUGCAAUGAAGCUAUCAUUCAAAUUACUUCUUCAUUAAGAGAACUUGGCAUCAUAGUGGAGAUGCCACAGCCUCUACAAAAUCUCUAAAAAUAAACUUUCAACGCGGCAGAUGUGUCUCCAGUAAUGAGUUCAAAGUGCAAGAGCGAGUAGACAAUAUUCCAAAAUAUGGGGAAGUGAUCAGGAGCAUGCCAAAAAGAUGAAGAGUUCAUUGCAACACUUUUCAGCAAACCAACGACCAAUAAUUUGGUUACCAGUAUGUUGGAUUUAGUACACAAGGAUCUCUAGACUGUUUUGAAUUAUUAUUGAUCUAGCUAUUUUGAAUUUAUAUUGAUUGUAAAGAAUACUUUGGGUUAAUAUA